GACGAACGCUGGCGGCGUGCUUAACACAUGCAAGUCGAACGGAAAGGCCCUUCGGGGUACUCGAGUGGCGAACGGGUGAGUAACACGUGAGUAACCUGCCCCCUUCUUUGGGAUAACUGUCGGAAACGAUGGCUAAUACCGAAUACACACCACCGGUCGCAUGGUGGGGGGUGGAAAGUUUUUCGGUGGGGGAUGGGCUCGCGGCCUAUCAGCUUGUUGGUGGGGUGAUGGCCUACCAAGGCUUUGACGGGUAGCCGGCCUGAGAGGGCGACCGGCCACACUGGGACUGAGACACGGCCCAGACUCCUACGGGAGGCAGCAGUGGGGAAUAUUGCACAAUGGGCGGAAGCCUGAUGCAGCGACGCCGCGUGAGGGAUGACGGCCUUCGGGUUGUAAACCUCUUUCAGCAGGGACGAAGCGAGAGUGACGGUACCUGCAGAAGAAGCGCCGGCCAACUACGUGCCAGCCGCCGCGGUAAGAC
rnacentral:rRNA from 1 species